rnacentral:tRNA from 8 species
GCCGGGAUGGUGGAACUGGUAGACACAAGAGACUUAAAAUCUCUCGGAGAGUGAUCUCCGUGCGGGUUCGACUCCCGCUCCCGGCACCA